GUCGAGAAUAAUUCACAAUGGGGGAAACCCUGAUGGUGCAACGCCGCGUGGAGGAUGAAGGUCUUCGGAUUGUAAACUCCUGUCAUCUGGGAGUAAGACCUGACGGUGAAUAGCCGGCAGGGUUGAUAGUACCAGAAGAGGAAGGGACGGCUAACUUCGUGCCAGCAGCCGCGGUAAUACGAAGGUCCCAAGCGUUGUUCGGAAUCACUGGGCGUAAAGGGAGCGUAGGCGGCGUGGUAAGUCAGAUGUGAAAUCCCGGGGCUCAACCCCGGAACUGCAUCCGAUACUGCCAUGCUUGAGGGUUCGAGAGGUAGCUGGAAUUCUCGGUGUAGCAGUGAAAUGCGUGGAUAUCGAGAGGAACACUCGUGGCGAAGGCGAGCUACUGGACAACAUCUGACGCUGAGGCUCGAAGGCCAGGGGAGCAAAAGGGAUUAGAAACCCGGGUAGUCC
rnacentral:rRNA from 1 species